rnacentral:rRNA from 1 species
AGGGGGGACGAACAGUUGGAAACGACUGCUAAUACCGCAUACGAUCUGACCUCGGCAUCGAGGAUGGAUGAAAGGUGGCCUCUAUUUAUAAGCUAUCACUGAAGGAGGGGAUUGCGUCUGAUUAGCUAGUUGGAGGGGUAACGGCCCACCAAGGCGAUGAUCAGUAGCCGGUCUGAGAGGAUGAACGGCCACAUUGGGACUGAGACACGGCCCAG